rnacentral:rRNA from 1 species
GUGAGGAAUAUUGGUCAAUGGGCGCAAGCCUGAACCAGCCAUGCCGCGUGCAGGAAGACGGUCCUAUGGAUUGUAAACUGCUUUUAUUUGGGAAUAAACUCCGGUACGUGUACCGGCCUGAAGGUACCAAAUGAAUAAGCACCGGCUAACUCCGUGCCAGCAGCCGCGGUAAUACGGAGGGUGCAAGCGUUAUCCGGAAUCAUUGGGUUUAAAGGGUCCGCAGGCGGUCUUAUAAGUCAGUGGUGAAAGCCUACAGCUCAACUGUAGAACUGCCAUUGAUACUGUAGGACUUGAAUUCGAUCGAAGUGGGCGGAAUGUGACAUGUAGCGGUGAAAUGCUUAGAUAUGACAUAGAACACCUAUUGCGAAGGCAGCUUACUACGCAUAUAUUGACGCUGAGGCACGAAAGCGUGGGGAUCAAACAGGAUUAGAUACCCUGGUAGUCC